rnacentral:rRNA from 1 species
UUAUUAAGGGCGCACGGUGGAUGCCUUGGCACUAGAAGCCGAUGAAGGACGUUACUAACGACGAUAUGCUUUGGGUAGCUGUAAGUAAGCGUUGAUCCAGAGAUUUCCGAAUGGGGGAACCCAGCAUGAGUUAUGUCAUGUUAUCGACAUGUGAAUUCAUAGCAUGUCAGAAGGCAGACCCGGAGAACUGAAACAUCUUAGUACCCGGAGGAAGAGAAAGAAAAAUCGAUUCCCUGAGUAGCGGCGAGCGAAACGGGAAUAGCCCAAACCAACAAGCUUGCUUGUUGGGGUUGUAGGACACUCUAUACGGAGUUACAAAAGAACAUGUUAGACGAAUCAUCUGGAAAGAUGAAUCAAAGAAGGUAAUAAUCCUGUAGUCGAAAACAUAUUCUCUCUUGAGUGGAUCCUGAGUACGACGGAGCACGUGAAAUUCCGUCGGAAUCUGGGAGGACCAUCUCCUAAGGCUAAAUACUCUCUAGUGACCGAUAGUGAACCAGUACCGUGAGGGAAAGGUGAAAAGUACCCCGGAAGGGGAGUGAAAGAGAACUUGAAACCGUGUGCUUACAAGUAGUCAGAGCCCGUUAAUGGGUGAUGGCGUGCCUUUUGUAGAAUGAACCGGCGAGUUACGAUCUGAUGCAAGGUUAAGCAGCAAAUGUGGAGCCGCAGCGAAAGCGAGUCUGAAUAGGGCGUUGAGUAUUUGGUCGUAGACCCGAAACCAGGUGAUCUACCCUUGGUCAGGUUGAAGUUCAGGUAACACUGAAUGGAGGACCGAACCGACUUACGUUGAAAAGUGAGCGGAUGAACUGAGGGUAGCGGAGAAAUUCCAAUCGAACUUGGAGAUAGCUGGUUCUCUCCGAAAUAGCUUUAGGGCUAGCCUCAAGUGAUGAUUAUUGGAGGUAGAGCACUGUUUGGACGAGGGGCCCCUCUCGGGUUACCGAAUUCAGACAAACUCCGAAUGCCAAUUAAUUUAA